AGAAAUCCUCCAUCCUAACUAGUAUAAAUAGAAAAACAUAUCAAUAAAAAACAUCACGACAUCCAAGAUGGACGUGUAGGUGCCAUUUCCAUCCUUGGACACGACCAUGUCUGCCUGAAUGUCGAUCGUCGGUACCUAUAGCAAUCGUCGAUCCUUCUUCACCACUCAUUCAGAAUGCUGUUGACAAGAGAAAUGCAUUAAGAUCCCAAGGUUUCAAUCCGUUAUUAUAUUUGAGGAAGAUACUUAUUAUUUUAAGCAUUUAUUUCUCUUAAAAUUCGUUCUUUUUUUUUUGUGUUCUCGUGCUCGAACAUUUUAGGGAUAUAGUUCGAACAUUUUAGGGAUAUAUAUCGCCGAGUUGGUUUCCAAGAUUAGUCACGAUAAUGAAUAAACUUUUUUAAUCGAUCAUUGUUCACAUAGAUCGUAUCUAGAAUUUUUGUCUGAAUUUGUUGUUCUUCUUUUCAACGAAUUGACUAUUUAAGGUGGGAAGGAGAACCAACCAUCUCUUCCGCAGAUCAUCUCCAUCGGCACCGAUCCCAGGUCAACUAAGCGUGAUUCGACCGUGACGGUAACGUUAAGCGUAAAUUGGGUUGGAAGAAAGGGCGUCAAGGACGUGAUGUCUCGUUCCAUAUCACGCAGGUUGAGGCGUCAGCUCAUUACUCUGCUCUCUCUGCAAGAAUUACAUGGCUUUGAUUCCACUCUCCCUCCUCCUCGCUUGCUUCAUCUUCUUUUUCUUCUUCUUCUUCUUCUUCUUCUUCUUCUUCUUCUUAUUCUUCUUCUUCUUAUUAUUCUUCUUCUUCUUCUUCUUCUUUGAUUCCACUCUCCCUCCUCCUCCUCGCUUGCUGCUGCUUCUUCUUCUUCUUCUUCUUUGAUUCCACUCUCCGUCCUCCUCCUCGCUUGCUGCUGCUGCUUCUUCUUCUUCUUCUUCUUCUUCUUCUUCUUCUUUUCUUCUUCUUCUUUGAUUCCACUCUCCCUCCUCCUCCUCGCUUGCUGCUUCUUCUUCUUCUUUUCUUCCACUCUCCCUCCUCCUCGCUUGCUUCUUCUUCUUCUUCUUGCUCUCAUGACGGCACCGUGUUGAGGCAUUCCCGACCACGACGAUGCCAUGCUUUUCCCAGUUUAAUCUGUGGCGCGGAGCAUUGGAUCACAUCGCCCGCUACUAAUGAAAUCGGUGUGAUGUGGUAAGUAAACCUGAGGCGAGAAUGCAGCAGCCACCGAGCGUCGUGCAUCGACCCGUAGCCAUUGGAAUCCCAUGGGCGCCUUCAAUCUGCCGCUGCACUCGAAUGCUUCGAUGAAAAGUAUUUUAAGAGUCCUAAAAUUAGAUUUGAAAUUAUUCGAUCCGUUAAAAAUGUAAUUAUGAAAAACACCCUUUCAUGAGUUUGGAUAUGUUUAAAUAAUACUAUUUAUUCGUCAACGUUUUGCAAGUGAGUCCACAAAGGAUCGAGAAAGGAAUUUGAAUCUGGAUUUGUGCUAAUUCAAAAGAGAUUUUUAUUUUUUUUUUGUGCUGUGAAGAAUCUGAUUUAUGGAUGUAGGUAAGAAUUGUGGAAUCAUAUAUUUUGCAUCAGUUUUCUAAUUUAUUUUUUUAUGAUUAAUUUUAAAAGUUUUCUCUUUCCAUAAUAUAUAUGAUAUUUGUGAUAUAUCUUCUUUAAAUUCAUACGACAAUACCACAUGUUAAAUUAAUUCUUAUGUGUAUUCAAAUUCGUUCAAAUCGAAGCAUCAAGGGUCAAAUUAAAUCAAAUAAAAAAAAUGAUUCGGUUCAAAGGAAGGUACUUCAAACUAAAAUCAUUUGGAACCUAAGUAAUCGAUUACGUAUGGAUUAAGCUACUGUCAAAAUCAUCAAGCCUCAAGAAGAGUAAAGGUAAUAAUAUUACUUUUUAACUGUGCUUGAUUGAUCCAUACUUCUAAAAAUGUUUAGAUAUUUUAACGAUACAAUUAAAAAGUUAAAAUUAUAAACUUAAAAAACUAUUACUUUUUAACUGAGCUUGAUUCGAAUCGAUUAAUCAAAUAAACAAGAUAUCUUUUCAAAUUAAAAUUAUUUAUAAUCUUUAAAACUAAAUUACUGAUGAACCGAUUCAGAUUAAAUCGGUUCGAAACCAAUUCGAUUUGGUUUGAUUUAAUUUUUUGAUUCGAUUUGAAUACCCCUAUUAAUAUUACAUUGCAUUCUUGCAUUACUUUCUUCUUCUAAACAAUUCUUCGACCUAACUGUCAUCCUUUGUGGUAGCCAUAACAUGCAAGAUAUUGUCUCCAUCUCAUUUAUGGCUCUUCGCCUUGUAAUACAACAAUUCUGAUCCGUGGGGACGAAUACAACUCAUGCUCUUUGACCCAUGCUGUCAUUUCUUUUUUUUUUUUUGUCUAUCAUACUAUGACUAUGAUUUAUUUUGUUCACGAGAAACAUGUUUCUUAUGUUUAUGCACAGAGGGAGUAAUAUGUUAUUAGAUUUCGUGUUAAUCGAAGUCUCACGUAUUAGAUUAAUCUAUUUCUAUACUUGUGUUUUAAUGGAGUGGAUACAAGAUCCUUCAAAGCAUUACCAAUCUUUACGCGUUCUCCAUGAACUCAGCCCCAAUAAUAUGUUGAGGCAAAGGAAGACGAGAGACGUGAACUCACGGGAUGCAAUUACGAGGGACGACGAUGAUGAUUCCUCGUGGAAAAGACACGCAAUUAGAUGGAGAUUACGAAAAGAAAUGGCAUUCCACUUGCAAAAACUGUACAUGAUUUCUUUAAUAAUCUCCACAAGUUAAGCUAAGGUGGAUGACUUUCCUGGGAUUGGACUCCAUCCCAAUUCCCAAUUAACAGCUUGUAACAUAUGAACCAAUUAUGAAAG
rnacentral:lncRNA from 1 species